AACUUAAGCCCCAGUAAACGGCGGCCGUAACUAUAACGGUCCUAAGGUAGCGAAAUUCCUUGUCGGGUAAGUUCCGACCCGCACGAAUGGCGUAAUGAUUUGGGCACUGUCUCAACAGCAAAUCCGGCGAAAUUGUAGUGCAAGUGAAGAUGCUUGCUACCCGCGAUUGGACGGAAAGACCCCGUAGAGCUUUACUGUAGCUUAGCAUUGAAUCUCGGUAUUGUCUGUACAGGAUAGGUGGGAGACUUGGAAACUUGGGCGUCAGCCUGAGUGGAGUCAUCCUUGGGAUACCACCCUGACAGUACUGGGGUUCUAACCGGCGGCCAUGAAUCUGGUCACGGGACAUUGUUAGGUGGGCAGUUUGACUGGGGCGGUCGCCUCCUAAAAAGUAACGGAGGCGCCCAAAAGUUCCCUCAGCGCGGUCGGAAAUCGCGCGAAGAGUGCAAAGGCAGAAGGGAGCUUGACUGCGACACAUACAGGUGGAGCAGGGACGAAAGUCGGGCUUAGUGAUCCGGUGGUACCUCGUGGGAGGGCCAUCGCUCAACGGAUAAAAGCUACCUCGGGGAUAACAGGCUGAUCUCCCCCAAGAGUCCACAUCGACGGGGAGG
rnacentral:rRNA from 1 species